rnacentral:rRNA from 1 species
GCUGCCUAUACAUGCAGUUGAGCGCUGAAGGGUUGGUACUUUGUACCGACUGGAUGAGCAGCGAACGGGUGAGUAACGCGUGGGGAAUCCUGCCUUUGAGCGGGGGACAACAUUUGGAAACGAAUGCUAAUACCGCAUAAAAACUUUAAACACAAGUUUUAAGUUUGAAAGAUGCAAUUGCAUCACUCAAAGAUGAUCCCGCGUUGUAUUAGCUAGUUGGUGAGGUAAAGGCUCACCAAGGCGAUGAUACAUAGCCGACCUGAGAGGGUGAUCGGCCACAUUGGGACUGAGACACGGCCCAAACUCCUACGGGAGGCAGCAGUAGGGAAUCUUCGGCAAUGGACGAAAGUCUGACCGAGCAACGCCGCGUGAGUGAAGAAGGUUUUCGGAUCGUAAAACUCUGUUGGUAGAGAAGAACGUUGGUGAGAGUGGAAAGCUCAUCAAGUGACGGUAACUACCCAGAAAGGGACGGCUAACUACGUGCCAGCAGCCGCGGUAAUACGUAGGUCCCGAGCGUUGUCCGGAUUUAUUGGGCGUAAAGCGAGCGCAGGUGGUUUAUUAAGUCUGGUGUAAAAGGCAGUGGCUCAACCAUUGUAUGCAUUGGAAACUGGUAGACUUGAGUGCAGGAGAGGAGAGUGGAAUUCCAUGUGUAGCGGUGAAAUGCGUAGAUAUAUGGAGGAACACCGGUGGUCGAAAGCGGCUCUCUGGCCUGUAACUGACACUGAGGCUCGAAAGCGUGGGGAGCAAACAGGAUUAGAUACCCUGGUAGUCCACGCCGUAAACGAUGAGUGCUAGAUGUAGGGAGCUAUAAGUUCUCUGUAUCGCAGCUAACGCAAUAAGCACUCCGCCUGGGGAGUACGACCGCAUGUUUGAAACUCAAAGGAAGUGACGGGGGCCCGCACAAGCGAUGGAGCAUGAG